UGUGCUCCAAGACUGACCGCCACUUUACAUCCUCUAUAGGUUCUAAAAACCCUGGAGGUCCCACCCUCGGCAGACUCCCCAACCCGACCAUUCCUUUCUCUCGCUGCUGAGCCAGGCUCAGGCUUCGGAGCCGGUGAUUGGUUCCCAAGCCUGGAAGCCUGAGGUCCUCCAACACCUCCUAUCACUGAGACGAGGACCAGCCAGAUGGCCUAGAAGGGACUGACUCUAUAACGACGGCGGAAGUUCCCGGAAAUGAUGCAAUGACUCGUUUCCGGGUGCUCCGCUGUUUGGUGUUGGGUCCGCUAGAGAUUUUACUGCGCCUGCGCCCCAGCGAUUCCGGGCCCGAGGGAUUCGUCCCAGCUUCUCUGCGUUGAUGGUGAGACCAAGUUUAAGAUUUCAUAAGAGGGAAUUUCUGAAGAAGCAAAAUUAACACAGGACUACAUGAAGAGGAUUCUAGAAGGGAACAGUUCCCAGGAACUUGUGUUUGGAAGACCUCUGAAGAAGAUGGGAGUUUAAAAAUUCAGGAGGGAAACAGUGCUGUGAGGGAGAGACUGAAGAGAGGAAAAAGAGACUUAAGACAAGUGAGAGUCAAGGACAAGCAAAUUCCUUCAGGAGAGGAUCCAGAAACAUAAAGAAUUUAUUUCAUUUUAAAGAAUUCAUACCAGGAUGAACGAGGAGAUAACCUCAAAUCAGAAAAAUUUAGAAGAAAAAGAAGCACACACAUUAUAACUUUAGAUUCCAAAGUCUCUUGCUCCAAGGAUCUAAUUUCAGAGAAGGUGAGAGACUAGAGAGGCAGUGGG
rnacentral:lncRNA from 1 species